rnacentral:lncRNA from 1 species
GGUGUCGCAGCUAGGUUAAGCGAGGGUGCAGAUCCAUCUCCAUCUCCAUCAUUUUCCUUUCCUCCCUUCUCUUCUUUUCUUUCCUCUCUUUUUUUCAUUUCCCCCCUGCGGCUUUUCGAUAGAAAAGAUAACCCCCCUCUGUACAGAAGUGCCCCCUAAGUCCUGCGAUGGUGGCCUGGCUGCAGCAUGGCAUUGCCAUUUUUUCAUUUCCCCCUGCGGCUUUUCUCCUUUCUCUCCAAGAAGAUCCUGAAACUGUCACUUUCUCUCUGCACUUUGAUCCCUUAACUUGCUUUUUCUUCUCCUUUUUGUGCAACUCUCACGUGAUAAAGUUUUUUCCUAGUAGGU